rnacentral:rRNA from 1 species
GAUGAACGCUGGCGGCGUGCCUAAUACAUGCAAGUCGAGCGAACAGACGAGGAGCUUGCUCCUCUGACGUUAGCGGCGGACGGGUGAGUAACACGUGGAUAACCUACCUAUAAGACUGGGAUAACUUCGGGAAACCGGAGCUAAUACCGGAUAAUAUAUUGAACCGCAUGGUUCAAUAGUGAAAGACGGUUUUGCUGUCACUUAUAGAUGGAUCCGCGCCGCAUUAGCUAGUUGGUAAGGUAACGGCUUACCAAGGCAACGAUGCGUAGCCGACCUGAGAGGGUGAUAGGCCACACUGGAACUGAGCCACGGUCCAGACUCCUACGGGAGGCAGCAGUAGGGAAUCUUCCGCAAUGGGCGAAAGCAUGACGGAGCAACGCCGCGUGAGUGAUGAAGGUCUUCGGAUCGUAAAACUCUGUUAUUAGGGAAGAACAAAUGUGUAAGUAACUAUGCACGUCUUGACGGUACCUAAUCAGAAAGCCACGGCUAACUACGUG